CCUACGGGUGGCAGCAGUGAGGAAUAUUGGUCAAUGGACGAGAGUCUGAACCAGCCAAGUAGCGUGAAGGAUGACUGCCCUAUGGGUUGUAAACUUCUUUUAUAUUGGAAUAAAAUGUUCCACGUGUGGGAUUUUGUAUGUACCAUAUGAAUAAGGAUCGGCUAUCUCCGUGCCAGCAGCCGCGGUAAUACGGAGGAUCCGAGCGUUAUCCGGAUUUAUUGGGUUUAAAGGUGGCGUAGGUGGAUUGUUAAGUCAGUUGUGAAAGUUUGCGGCUCAACCGUAAAAUGGCAGUUGAAACUGGCAGUCUUGAGUACAGUAGAGGUGGGCGGAAUUCGUGGGGUAGCGGUGAAAGGCUUAGAUAUCACGAAGAACUCCGAUUGCGAAGGCAGCUCACUGGACUGCAACUGACACUGAGGCUCGAAAGUGUGGGUAUCAAACAGGAUUAGAUACCCGGGUAGUC
rnacentral:rRNA from 1 species